rnacentral:rRNA from 1 species
UACGGGGGGGGUAAGCGUUGUUCGGAAUUACUGGGCGUAAAGGGCUCGUAGGCGGCCAACUAAGUCAUACGUGAAAUCCCUCAGCUUAACUGGGGAACUGCGUGUGAUACUGGAUGGCUUGAAUCCGGGAGAGGGAUGCGGAAUUCCAGGUGUAGCGGUGAAAUGCGUAGAUAUCUGGAGGAACACCGGUGGCGAAGGCGGCAUCCUGGACCGGCAUUGACGCUGAGGCGCGAAAGCCAGGGGAGCAAAGCGGG